rnacentral:misc_RNA from 1 species
GCAUCUACCGAUUGAAUGGAGAGGUAAAAUCUCCGGACUAUGACGCGUUGGGGUCAAACCUAAUUCAGUCGUGGGAAGUGGAUUAAACCUUUCCAUUUAGAGGAAGAUGAAGUCGUAACAAGGUUUCCGUAGGUGAACCUGCAGAAGGAUCAAGUUCGUAAGAUCGUCGUUUAGGGAAAGAGUGUAUAUCUCGGUUUUCUCCGUAUCAUUUAAACACAAAUCUUUCUUUCUUUCUUUUUUUUUUCUUUUCUCUUCAUUUUCUUUCUUUUCUUUGUUU